rnacentral:lncRNA from 1 species
CAAGGAUGGGUGGUGGGGUUACGCUAGGAGGUUUGCGUCCUGCCUGGGGUUCCCUGGCGCCCCUUGCCCUUAAGGCCAGGCCCUCCGAAAGAGGCAAAGUGGCAAUGUCGCUUCCUCCUUCUCCACUUCGUCCCACCCAGAGAUGCCCUGAGGAGACGUCCGCCUUUGUACAAGCUCAGGGAACUGACUCCCAAGUUCGGUUCCGCCCUCCUCCGCAGGGCGGACAGCUGGGGAGAACUCCUCCACCCUCCGAAAUGCCCGUGUGACCAGUUGGCACUGUUUACCUUCGCCGGACAAUAACCGCACCAGGGAAGACCCUGGAUUCAAGUGUGUGAUGCGCUUCGUUUGGGGCGAGGGAUAAGGCACCGGGCCAGAAGGAGUGAGGCGCUGGGGUCGGAAGACUUGGUCUUCAGCCUGCGGUUUGCGACCAUCCGAGCUGCCGCGCGGGCGGCCAGGGAAUCGGUAACCCGAGCUGAUCUGCAAGACUAGAAACCACAUAACCUGGAAAGCAGCUGCGCGGGUGUGAGAGAACCCCAAGCACCAUAAACAUCACCUUUGCGAAGCCUCAGGAGCUGGAAGAGAUUUUAUUACCAUUUUUAUUAUCCAGAGCUUGAAAUUUUCCAGAUAGUCUGUUUUCUCUCUCAGAUCCCCCAUGGAAUUCUUAGAAACAAAGGUAUUUUAAUAGAAAGAAGCAAAGGCUUGGAAAUGCCUUAAGGGACUCUCCAAAGACAGAUUUCUCUUUGUAGGUGUUUAUUCCAGCUAUGCGAAUUCUUCUGGACCCACAGGGUCAAACACUAAAAACCUUGAAGACACCAGACUGUGAGAUUCACAGAAUCAAAAUAAAGUGGAAA